AAGCAAAUACCAGAUGGUUCCUUGGUACCUGUCUGUGGGGCAGAAUUGGAAGUCAGCUCAGCCUACUUUUAGGGCAGGAAACACUGAAUGGAGUGUGCUUGAUUUACUAUAGACACUGACUCAGCUUUGGCCAAUGGAACAGACAAAUCAGUCUCUGGACUACUUUCAAAAGCUUUGCCUGUGCUAGAGCAUGCUUCCAUGCGAGAGGGACCUGCCUGGAUUACUACUCUGGCUCUGAAGAUGGAUGUUAUAAGUGAUUAAACCAUGCUGCCCCUA